AGCUUGAUGAAUUCAUAUUAGGUGAGCUCUGCUCAAUGAUUAAUUAAAUAGCCGCGGUACUUUGACCGUGCAAAGGUAGCAUAAUAAAUUGGCUUUUAAUUGAAGUCUAGAAUGAACGAGUAUAUGGGUAUUAACUGUUUCACUAAAAUUACUUCUAACUUACUUAUUAAGUGAAAAUACUUAAAAAUUAAAUAAAAGACGAGAAGACCCUAGAAGUUUUUAUUAGAAAUCUUUUUACAUUUUUGUUGGGGCAACAUAGUUACAAUAUAAACUAACUUGAAUAUUUGUUUGUAUGUGAAGAAUAUAUUAAGAACAUUUAAGCUACUCUAGGGAUAACAGCAUAAUUUUUGAAAAAGCUUGUGACCUCGAUGUUGGAUUAAGGAUAAUUUAGGUUAGAAGUUUAAAUUAUAGGUUCUGUUCGAACUGUUUUUUCUUUACAUG
rnacentral:rRNA from 1 species